rnacentral:snRNA from 1 species
GCUCACUUCAGCAGUACAUAUAUUAAAAUUGCAACAAUACAAAGAAGAUUAGCAUGGCAAGAAUGACAUGCAAAUUCAUGAAGCAUUCCAUAUUUUU